GAUAAAAGCUUUAUAUGGACCUUGUUUGUGAUCAAAUGGGAGGCGCUUAAGAAAACCAAGUCCAGUUUGUUUUACCUGUCUUCGACACUUGAGCUUUGUGUGAUCAAACCUUAACAAGGAUUACUAUGGUGCUUUUUUUUGUUUGGUUUUUAUAUCUAUGUACCUACACUUGAUUACUGGAAUGUCCCUGUCAGUUACAAAGAUUUUCCAUUGCCCACACAGUGAAAGUAAAACAUCCCCAACUGUCUUUUGCACGAUUUCCCUCAUUGUCAUACCUGAAAGCCGUGUUUUAUUUGAGAAAGCCAAAGAGCUCCAAAGCACCGUUGCCUUAUAAGAAGUAUACAGCAGCAGGUCAGCAUCCUGAGCCUGGUGAUUUGUAAUAUUCCAAGCACGGUGUACCUGAGUAGCUGACAGAAAAAGAGAGGAGCUGUUGAAGUGUGUCCUUCUGGCAGCUGGUGGAGGAUCAAGUCUUGUGAUGCCCCUGACCUAAUAUGGCUAGGUCUGGACUGUCAGCUGAGAAUCAGGUGCUUACUAAAUAUUUAGGAGGAUAAAGACUUCCUGCUGGGCGUAAGCAGUCAUCA